rnacentral:rRNA from 1 species
AUUGAACGCUGGCGGCAGGCCUAACACAUGCAAGUCGAGCGGAGCGGCGGACGGGUGAGGAAUGCCUAGGAAUCUGCAUGGUAGUGGGGGAUAACGUCCGGGAACGGGCGCUAAUAACGCAUACCAUCAGAUGAGCCUAGUGCGGAUUAGCUAGUGGGGGGGGUAAAGGCCUACCAACGCGCCGAUCCGUAACUGGUCUGAGAGGAUGAUCAGUCACACUGGAACUGAGACACGGUCCAGACUCUUACGUGAGGCAGCAGUGGGGAAUAUUGCACAAUGGGCGCAAGCCUGAUGCAGCCAUGCCUCUUGGAUGAAGAAGGCCUGCGGGUUGUAAAGUACUUUCAGCGGGGAGGCGUUACCCGCAGAAGAAGCACCGUCUAACUCCGUGCCAGCCGCCGCGGUAAUAC